CUUUGAUCCCCUGAAUGAACAAACUGUGGACAUGCCAAUACACAUUACUGACAUGUAUGCCCACCUGACCUGCACCCACUCUGCAGGGCAGCGCUCGCCAUUGAAUGACUUCUAGGUGCUCCGGGGCACAGAGCUACAGCGCCGCUACAAGCGGUGGUGCCCGGGCCUUGGCAGGAGGAUGUGGCAGAUGCUGAAGAGUGUGCUGGUCGCUGUGGGCCCUUAAUGGACUGCCGGGCGUUCCACUACAAUGUGAGCAGCCAUGGUUGCCAACUGCUGCCAUGGACUCAACACUCACCCCACACGAGGCUGCGGCAUUCUGGGCGCUGUGACCUCUUCCAGGAGAAAGGUACAUGCCCACGCUCCGGAAUGGCCUGGAAGAGAACUUCUGCCGUAACCCUGAUGGCGACCCCGGAGGUCCUUGGUGCCACACAACAGACCCUGCCGUGCGCUUCCAGAGCUGCGGCAUCAAAUCCUGCCGGCCGCGUGUGUCUGGUGCAAUGGCGAGGAAUACCGCGGCGCGGUAGACCGCACCGAGUCAGGGCGCGAGUGCCAGCGCUGGGAUCUUCAGCACCCGCACCAGCACCCCUUCGAGCCGGGCAAGUUCCUCGACCAAGGUCUGGACGACAACUAUUGCCGGAAUCCUGACGGCUCCGAGCGGCCAUGGUGCUACACUACGGAUCCGCAGAUCGAGCGAGAAUUCUGUGACCUCCCCCGCUGCGGUAGGCGGCGGGGACCAGGCCUGGGAGGGUACCUGGGAACCUUGGGGAGGGGCGUGGCUUGGCCGGGGAGGUCAGAGGGGCUGGGCGUGACCUGAGAGCAUAUCCCGUGGAGUACCGUACACCUGGGAAAGGCGGGUUUGGUCCCAGCCCCAGAGGGAUCU
rnacentral:lncRNA from 1 species